rnacentral:rRNA from 1 species
GACGAACGCUGGCGGCGUGCUUAACACAUGCAAGUCGAACGGAAAGGCCCCGCUUUUGUGGGGUGCUCUAGUGGCGAACGGGUGAGUAACACGUGAGUAACCUGCCCUUCCCUCUGGGAUAACUCUAGGAAACUGGGGCUAAUACUGGAUAGGACCUCCCGCCGCAUGGUGGGGUUGGGAAAGUUUCGGCGGUUGGGGAUUGACUCCGGGCUCAUUAGCCUGUUGGGUGGGUAGGGGCUCGCCAAGGCUUUGACGGGUUGCCGGCCUGGGGGGGUGACCGGCCACAUUGGGGAUGGAAUACGGGCCAGACUCCUACGGGGGGCAGCAGUGGGGGAUAAUGCAAAAUGGGCCGAAGCCUGAAGCAAGAGAGCCGCGGGGGGGGAGAAGGCCUUCGGGUUGGAAACCGCUUUCGCCUGUGACGGAGGGUGACGGACGGUAAUCGGUAAAGGAACAACCGCUAACUACGGG